rnacentral:rRNA from 1 species
CCUACGGGCGGCAGCAGUGGGGGAUAUUGCACAAUGGGGGAAACCCUGAUGCAGCGACGCCGCGUGGGUGAAGAAGCGCCUCGGCGCGUAAAGCCCUGUCAGCAGGGAAGAAAAUGACGGUACCUGAAGAAGAAGCCCCGGCUAACUACGUGCCAGCAGCCGCGGUAAUACGUAGGGGGCAAGCGUGAUCCGGAUUUACUGGGUGUAAAGGGGGCGCAGACGGCGAUGCAAGCCAGGAGUGAAAGCCCGGGGCCCAACCCCGGGACUGCUCUUGGAACUGCGUGGCUAGAGUGCAGGAGGGGCAGGCGGAAUGCCUGGUGUAGCGGUGAAAUGCGUAGAUAUCAGGAGGAACACCGGUGGCGAAGGCGGCCUGCUGGACUGCAACUGACGUUGAGGUCCGAAAGCGUGGGGAGCAAACAGGAUUAGAUACCCCAGUAGUC